rnacentral:rRNA from 1 species
GUAGGGAAUCUUCCACAAUGGACGCAAGUCUGAUGGAGCAACGCCGCGUGAGUGAAGAAGGUUUUCGGACCGUAAAGCUCUGUUGUUGGUGAAGAAGGAUAGAGGUAGUAACUGGCCUUUAUUUGACGGUAAUCAACCAGAAAGUCACGGCUAACUACGUGCCAGCAGCCGCGGUAAUACGUAGGUGGCAAGCGUUGUCCGGAUUUAUUGGGCGUAAAGCGAGCGCAGGCGGAAGAAUAAGUCUGAUGUGAAAGCCCUCGGCUUAACCGAGGAAUUGCAUCGGAAACUGUUUUCUUGAGUGCAGAAGAGGAGAGUAGAACUCCAUGUGUAGCGGUGGAAUGCGUAGAUAUAUGGAAGAAUACCAGUGGCGAAGGCGGCUCUCUGGUCUGCAACUGACGCUGAGGCUCGAAAGCAUGGGUAGCGAACAGGAUUAGAUACCCCGGUAGUCCAUGCCGUAAACGAUGAGUGCUAAGUGUUGGGAGGCUUCCGCCUCUCAGUGCUGCAGCUAACGCAUUAAGCACUCCGCCUGGGGGAGUACGACCGCAAGGUUGAAAC